rnacentral:rRNA from 1 species
AACGAACGCUGGCGGCAUGCCUAGCACAUGCAAGUCGAACGAGACCUUCGGGUCUAGUGGCGCACGGGUGCGUAACGCGUGGGAACCUGCCCUUAGGUUCGGAAUAACUCCCCGAAAGGGGUGCUAAUACCGGAUAAUGUCUUCGGACCAAAGAUUUAUCGCCUUUGGGUGGGCCCGCGUUGGAUUAGCUAGUUGGUAGGGUAAAAGCCUACCAAGGCGACGAUCCAUAGCUGGUCUGAGAGGAUGAUCAGCCACACUGGGACUGAGACACGGCCCAGACUCCUACGGGAGGCAGCAGUGGGGAAUAUUGGACAAUGGGCGAAAGCCUGAUCCAGCAAUGCCGCGUGAGUGAUGAAGGCCUUAGGGUUGUAAAGCUCUUUUACCCGGGAUGAUAAUGACAGUACCGGGAGAAUAAGCUCCGGCUAACUCCGUG